GCUGCGGGCGGGCUCGACGUACCCUACCGCGGGGUGGUGCUCUGACUGCGGCAACCGUUGAAGGGCUGCCCCCGGGGAGGCAGCAAGGCGCCACCGGUCCCUUAAACAUCUUCUCAAGUAUUUUCUACGCUAAGAGGAAUGACUGCACCAUUUUCCUGAGCUAUGGCAGUCAGACCUGGUAGCACUAACUUCUCUACAGAACCCCCAAACCCUGCAAGAAUGGUUCAGAUUUUGGCAGAUUAUGGCUUCAUCCCCACCCAGAACUGAUGAUAUCAGCAGAGACAGUAAGAGACAUUUCUCCAAAGAAGACAUACAGAUGGCCAACAGACACAUGAAGAGAUGCUCAACAUUACUCAUCAUAACGGAAAUGCAUAUCAGAACUACAAUGAGUUAUCAUCCCACACCUGUCAGAAUGGCUGGAAUCAGAAACAAGAAACAGCAAGUGUCG